rnacentral:lncRNA from 1 species
CCAUCUUUCUCUUUUUUAAUGGCUUUUGGCUUUUAUGUCACAAAUAAAGGUUAUGAAAAUAAACUUCAUAGUACUUUUUAUGCCUUUUUUUUUCUUGGUUUCUGUGAACCUAUUGGUUUUUUUACAUUUUAAUUUUCAGUACACCUGAGAUUUUUUGGGGGGAAUAUUUUAGGAUCUAAUUAUAUUUUAUUUUUCUGAAUGGAUAACUAGUUAUUUCAACAUUCAUAUUGAUUGAUUUAUCUUUUCUCCAUUGAUAACUCUGUUUCCUUGAUUCACAGAUCUCUUAACAAGACUGAAUCAUAGAAGCUAGGCGUCUUAGUCCGUUCUCAUGCUGCUGUCAAGAACUGCCCAAGACUGGGUAAUUUAUAGAGAAAAGAGGUUUAAUUGACCUCACAGUUCUGCAUGGCUGGGGAAGCCUCAGGA